rnacentral:tRNA from 1 species
GCACCUUUAGCUCAGUGGUAGAGCGUUCCGUUCACAUCGGAAAGGCCGUUGGUUCGAUCCCAACAAGGUGCA